rnacentral:rRNA from 1 species
CAGCCGCCGCGGUAACACCGGCGGCCCGAGUGGUGAUCGUGAUUAUUGGGUCUAAAGGGUCCGUAGCCGGUUUGGUCAGUCCUCCGGGAAAUCUGAUAGCUCAACUAUUAGGCUUUCGGGGGAUACUGCCAGACUUGGAACCGGGAGAGGUAAGAGGUACUACAGGGGUAGGAGUGAAAUCUUGUAAUCCCUGUGGGACCACCUGUGGCGAAGGCGUCUUACCAGAACGGGUUCGACGGUGAGGGACGAAAGCUGGGGGCACGAACCGGAUUAGAUACCCGGGUAGUCCCAGCCGUAAACGAUGCUCGCUAGGUGUCAGGCAUGGCGCGACCGUGUCUGGUGCCGCAGGGAAGCCGUGAAGCGAGCCACCUGGGAAGUACGGCCGCAAGGCUGAAACUUAAAGGAAUUGGCGGGGGAGCACAACAACGGGUGGAAGCCUGCGGUUUAAUUGGACUCAACGCCGGACAACUCACCGGGGGCGACAGCAAUAUGUAGGCCAAGCUGAAGACUUUGCCUGAAUCGCUGAGAAGUGGUGCAUGG